GUCACGCUGAAGUGACUUUGUGCCCUGUUUGUAACUGGGCCUCUUUGAAAGCGGGCCUCGCAUUCCUGCUCCGUCGGACGGGGGAUGUCCUGCUUAUUCCCAGCGAGUAGGAAGUUUCUGCCAUUAGGGAUUAUGUGCCGUUUCCUCACCCAGAAGCUUUCGGCUUGUCCCCUCCCACUCUUGAAAAAGCAGCGACUUCAGAAACUAGAAAACGGUACAAAUUAAAUACCUGCCUCUCUGUCCACCAGCCUCAGCCUUUUAGCCCCGCUCGUCUGCGCUUGUGCGAUUGCUGGGAGGAGGCAGCCGUGUUCUGUCCGCUUUUGUGUGGUUGUACAGAAGUGCUGCGGUUGGGAGGAGGAGGAGGAGGUGGAGGGGAACAGCUGCUCCCCACACAGAAGCCGGUUUCCCAGCCUGACAGGCAGCGAGAGGCAGCCAGUGCCGGGGCUGUUUUCCCGGGGGCCCUCGGGUUGGUUCGCCAGCCUCCGCAGCUAGGAGGGGAAUUUUUAUGGCGGUGACGAAAAUACAAAAUGGACCAGAGCAAGUAGGAUUCUUUCCUUCACAAGGCCAGGCGCUCGUGUUCUCCCACAAAAAUCAGGAGUAGAUAUGGAUACGUCUCCAGUGAAACUUGACCAGGUUUCUCUCAGCCGAUGGGACUCCAGUGGAACCCGCGGCUGCUCUGAGCGUCUUCCUCCAGUCAGAGCUUUUAACCCGUCGGAUGGCGGUUAGCGGUGGCCGCAGGUGCUCCCUUUACCUGCAUGAAAAACUGUGUAUAGAAGGAAGAUGUUAUUUUCAGCUUGCAGAGCGGCCAGCCAGGCUGCAGAUAUCAUCCAUCUCCUUGUCACAAAGCGCCAGGGUUGCUGGGUAGGCAGCAGACAGCCGCUCGGCGCUGAGGAUGGGAGCUGAAUCCUAAUUCCGCCACUGCUCUCCCCCGCCUCCCACGACGGAAAAUCGUUAACCUCAGGAUUGGAGAACAAAGCAGAGAGCUUUAGCCAGCUAGCUGCUGUUAACGCAAAACGCCCCAACCACAUAUUAAACAAGUCUCCGAGAGACAUGCUGAAAUCAUGUAUGUUCAGAUUUAAAGCCUUCAG
ensembl:lncRNA